CAGCCGCCACGGUAAUACAGAGGGUGCGAGCGUUAAUCGGAUUUACUGGGCGUAAAGCGUGCGUAGGCGGCUAAUUGAGUCGGAUGUGAAAUCCCCGAGCUUAACUUGGGAAUUGCAUUCGAUACUGGUUAGCUAGAGUGUGGGAGAGGAUGGUAGAAUUCCAGGUGUAGCGGUGAAAUGCGUAGAGAUCUGGAGGAAUACCGAUGGCGAAGGCAGCCAUCUGGCCUAACACUGACGCUGAGGUACGAAAGCAUGGGGAGCAAACAGGAUUAGAUACCCCGGUAGUCCCUUCUCUUAUACA
rnacentral:rRNA from 1 species